AAUGCCGCCACAAACCGCCGUCACCGACACCAAUCUAAUCUCCGCUGUUCCUAGCACAACCGCCACCAUCCCGGGCACGACGACGGGUACGCGAACCAGAAGAAAAAAGUAUAGAGCCCCACCGCCGCCUACGACGCCAGUGGUUCCCGAGUCGGCGACGACGUCGCUCAAAAAACGUGCGCACCGCAAAGGGCCCGCGCCAAAGCCACCCGAUACGGCGGUGGCGACUGCAAGUCGACAAGUGCCGAAAGCCGAAGUUCAGCGUACGCCCAAGACGAUCGUUGGAGUUACCCCGCAAACGUCGCACACGAGUACUGCCGUGCGCGGAAUGGCGGCAGACGAAAAAGACAGGCUCAGGCGACGGGUAGACAAAAUAGAGAAACGUUUGACUGAAAAAACGCCGACCGGAUACGGCCGACCCGCGUCGGCCGUGUACACCGAAAUGGCAGUGACCAACAUAACCGAACUGGACAGGCGUGCGGCCGAGAUAUGCAAGUCGCUGAGCGAGUCCACUGAAGCCGCUCGCCGACUGUCUGCGUCCUUAUCGGUUGUCGUUAAAAAACCCGACGAGAGGAACCGUCCCGUUAGCGCUUUUGUGUUGCCGUCGUCCCGAGAAGUCGGGACGACUUCCGAAAUCCGCCGGAAUCGUGUGGAAUUUUUCGAAAGGCUGAAACCACUCGGAAAUAACGACGAAAUUGUUUCCUCUCCGGCAGUAGUCGAAACAACUACAAACGUACCUAAAAAAGUCACUAAAACCUCAUUGGGUACGCAGACUACUGGCCGUCGUCCAGUGAACAGGUCCAAGGCGGCGAGUACAACCAAACAGAACGGUAAACAUGUUAGUUUGUGUGUCUAAAGCAAAACUGAAACAUUGAAGAUUUAGAGGACUUUGGUCGGUUAUGGUUUUUCAAACAGAAAAAUGUUUUUAUUUCAAUUGGUUUUAAAACUGGCUGCGGAGGAAAAAAAAAGUUGUUAUCAAGAACUUAUUGCAAUAGAAAACCAAAACGACCUCGUCACCUGUGAUAGUCAAUUCGAAUGCGCUGUAUGUCUUUGCGUUUACAAAAGCGACGGUAUUAUGCUACGCGAUUGUUUACAUGUAUUUUGUAGGUAAGUAAAUUUAAAUUGGA